rnacentral:rRNA from 1 species
UACGAAGGGGGCUAGCGUUGUUCGGAAUUACUGGGCGUAAAGGGCGCGUAGGCGGCCUUCUAAGUCGAACGUGAAAUCCCCGGGCUCAACCCGGGAACUGCGUCCGAUACUGGAAGGCUUGAAUCCGGGAGAGGGAUGCGGAAUUCCAGGUGUAGCGGUGAAAUGCGUAGAUAUCCGGAGGGACACCGGUGGCGAAGGCGGCUUCCUGGACCGACACUGACGCUGAGGCGCGAAAGCUAGGGGAGCAAACGGG